rfam:Triticum aestivum genome assembly, contig: Triticum_aestivum_CS42_TGACv1_scaffold_291299_4AL
AAGGUACUCCCUCCGUCUGAAAAAGCUUGCCACUCAAAUAGAUGUAUCUAGCACCAAGUUAGUGCUAGAUACAUCCAUUUGAGGCACAACCUUGGGACAAGUUUUUUCGGACAGAGGGAGUAUCAU